rfam:Rhodobacterales bacterium 65-51 scnpilot_p_inoc_scaffold_515, whole genome shotgun sequence.
AUCACCGACAGCAAGCUGCCCGACAUGCAGGCGGGGUGGGAGCAGGGUAUCACCAAUACGCUCGCGGGUCUGUCCGGGCUGAACAUGUGCUAUGAGGCGG